rnacentral:misc_RNA from 1 species
AUGACAUAUUACGGUCAGCUUGUGGCCUGAUAGGAUACUGCUGCAAGCUACAGCCAAUACAUUCACUUCAAGGGAGAAGGCCAAAAUGGCUGCUAGAAUUUUGAAAGCCUCAACUGGCCUUACAGGUCUACCUGUAUCACAAAACCCAAGAAAGAUGUUGUUGCAUCUCUAUGGUUUGACCUUUGAAUCACUGGAAAAAAUGCCAGCCAGUGCCGCAUAUAGAAAAAACACAGAAAAAAUUUUAAAACAUAGGGUAGAUAUAGUUAAAUCUACUGAAGACAUCAUUCAGAUAGAAAAGAAAAUUAAUUGUGGUCAAAUAGAAGAAAUUAUUGUACAGGCAAAAAAUGAACUAUCACUUGCCAGGCGUAUGUUAAUAUGGCAACCAUGGGAACCACUCCUAGGAGAUGCUCCGAAGGAUCAGUGGAAAUGGCCUAUUUAACAAAUAAAAGUCCACAAACUGGGUUCAUACAAUUUUUUUUUUUUUUUUUUUUUUUUUUUAAUGUGUAAGUUAGCAGCAGAACUCUCAGAUUCUGGUGUGAAGGGAAUCAUGGAAGAGCGGACGCUUCCUACCUUCAUUUUAUAGCAAGGAUUAUUUUUCACCCUGUUUGCACGUAAUGGUUACCUCAGGAGAACCUGUUUGGUGCACAGUAUGAAGUACUAUGUGAGCUACAGUAAUGAAUGUUGCUAAGCACUCUACAUGAUUAGUAUUAAACACUGUGUUUGUUUUAUUAA